rnacentral:rRNA from 1 species
CGCUAUCACUCCUACGGGAGGCAGCAGUGGGGAAUAUUGCACAAUGGGGGAAACCCUGAUGCAGCCAUGCCGCGUGUGUGAAGAAGGCCUUCGGGUUGUAAAGCACUUUCAGUAGGGAGGAAGGUAGUGUAGUUAACACCUGCAUUAUUUGACGUUACCUACAGAAGAAGCACCGGCUAACUCCGUGCCAGCAGCCGCGGUAAUACGGAGGGUGCGAGCGUUAAUCGGAAUUACUGGGCGUAAAGCGCAUGCAGGCGGCCUGUUAAGUCAGAUGUGAAAGCCCGGGGCUUAACCUCGGAAUUGCAUUUGAAACUGGCAGGCUAGAGUCUUGUAGAGGGGGUAGAAUUUCAGGUGUAGCGGUGAAAAUGCGUAGAGAUCUGAAGGAAUACCAGUGGCGAAGGCGGCCCCCUGGACAAAGACUGACGCUCAGGAUGCGAAAGCGUGGGGAGCAAACAGGAUUAGAUACCCUGGUAG